AGUCGAGGGGCAUCAGUUUGGUUUGCUUGCAAACCAAAGCUGGCGACCGGCGCACGGGUGAGUAACACGUAUCCAACCUGCCUCAUACUCGGGGAUAGCCUUUCGAAAGAAAGAUUAAUAUCCGAUAGCAUAUAUUUCCCGCAUGGGUUUUAUAUUAAAGAAAUUCGGUAUGAGAUGGGGAUGCGUUCCAUUAGUUUGUUGGGGGGGUAACGGCCCACCAAGACUACGAUGGAUAGGGGUUCUGAGAGGAAGGUCCCCCACAUUGGAACUGAGACACGGUCCAAACUCCUACGGGAGGCAGCAGUGAGGAAUAUUGGUCAAUGGACGCGAGUCUGAACCAGCCAAGUAGCGUGAAGGAUGACUGCCCUAUGGGUUGUAAACUUCUUUUAUAUGGGAAUAAAGUUGUCCACGUGUGGAUUUUUGUAUGUACCAUAUGAAUAAGGAUCGGCUAACUCCGUGCCAGCAGCCGCGGUAACACGGAGGAUCCGAGCGUUAUCCGGAUUUAUUGGGUUUAAAGGGAGCGUAGGCGGAUUGUUAAGUCAGUUGUGAAAGUUUGCGGCUCAACCGUAAAAUUGCAGUUGAUACUGGCAGUCUUGAGUGCAGUAGAGGUGGGCGGAAUUCGUGGUGUAGCGGUGAAAUGCUUAGAUAUCACGAAGAACUCCGAUUGCGAAGGCAGCUCACUGGAGUGU
rnacentral:rRNA from 1 species